AUAGUGCCAGGCUUCGGGGAUACGACUGUGAAUGGGACAAAUAUCCCACCCCUAAGAUGCUUAGUCUGAUUAGGGAGACAGGUCACUGCCAUAUGGAAUGUUAAACGUUGUAAUGAGCACAUAUAGAAGGAGCUCCAACUCAGCCUGGGGCAGGGGAAGAAUUUCAAGCCGAGAAGACAGGUUGGGAGUUUGGAAGGGCACCACACGCCCCAGUGCACUGUCUAUGGGCAAAAUGAAACCAGAGCACUCAACCUGUCAGCACAACAGCUUUCGGCCACUCACCUAAGAAGCAAAGCAGUUGGUGGGGAGCUGUGACCAGACCAGCUGACAGUGCUAAUUAAAACAUCCAACCCAUGUGUAUGCAAAUCCAGAAACAGCGUGUCAGGGAAGAUAACUCCUGAUCCGAACUCAUCCCCAGAGCUUUUCCUGAGCCCAGCUGUUGAGAGGCAAUCUGCAGCACGGCCACUUGAUAAAAUUAUUUCUGUUUGGUUCUCGAUUGCUAUCACUCCCGCAGUUCAGCCUUCUUUGUCCGUGUUCGAGCGAGUCAGCCCAGGACCGAUAAAUCACGGGAGUCCACAGUUUUGUUCUACAGCCUCCUCGAUUCACUUAACUAUUUAUGAAACGCCUACUAUGUGCGGCCCUUCUGCUAGAUGCCGGGAAUACAGAAAUGGACAAACUCUGGCACACGAUAUUUUGAAGUUAGCGGGAGAAAGUCAAAUAAAAAGAGAAGUUGUAAUCAGAGAUAUGAAAUGGCCAGUUGUUGUUGGAGCAGGGGAAGAUAAUGACCAGCAUUCUCGGGA